rnacentral:tRNA from 1 species
GGGGCCAUCGUCUAGGGGUUAGGACGUCGCCCUUUCACGGCGAUAACACGGGUUCGAAUCCCGUUGGCCCUACCA